GGGUCGUUAGCUCAGUUGGUAGAGCAGUUGACUUUUAAUCAAUUGGUCGCAGGUUCGAAUCCUGCACGACCACCA
rnacentral:tRNA from 4 species